AUUGAACGCUGGCGGCAGGCCUAACACAUGCAAGUCGAGCGGUAGCACAGGAGAGCUUGCUCUCUGGGUGACGAGCGGCGGACGGGUGAGUAAUGUCUGGGAAACUGCCUGAUGGAGGGGGAUAACUACUGGAGACGGUAGCUAAUACCGCAUAAUGUCUUCGGACCAAAGUGGGGGACCUUCGGGCCUCACGCCAUCAGAUGUGCCCAGAUGGGAUUAGCUAGUAGGUGGGGUAAUGGCUCACCUAGGCGACGAUCCCUAGCUGGUCUGAGAGGAUGACCAGCCACACUGGAACUGAGACACGGUCCAGACUCCUACGGGAGGCAGCAGUGGGGAAUAUUGCACAAUGGGCGCAAGCCUGAUGCAGCCAUGCCGCGUGUGUGAAGAAGGCCUUCGGGUUGUAAAGCACUUUCAGCGAGGAGGAAGGGUUCAGUGUUAAUAGCACUGUUCAUUGACGUUACUCGCAGAAGAAGCACCGGCUAACUCCGUGCCAGCAGCCGCGGUAAUACGGAGGGUGCAAGCGUUAAUCGGAAUUACUGGGCGUAAAGCGCACGCAGGCGGUUUGUUAAGUCAGAUGUGAAAUCCCCGCGCUUAACGUGGGAACUGCAUUUGAAACUGGCAAGCUAGAGUCUUGUAGAGGGGGGUAGCAUUCCAGGUGUAGCGGUGAAAUGCGUAGAGAUCUGGACGAAUACCGGAGGCGAAGGCUCCCCCUCUACAAAGACUGAUGCUUGGGUGCGAAAGCUGCCGAGCUUCAGCAUAACAUACCUCGAUAGUCCAGGCGAAUUCCCCAUGGGAUGUCGAGCUGAUGAUUCCCCUCGUCUUGG
rnacentral:rRNA from 1 species